rnacentral:lncRNA from 1 species
AGUAAACAAAGCAAUAUUCAUUAUUUUCAUUAUACUGGUGCAGGAAACAAUUAAUAAAGUAGUAACAAUAAAACGCAGGCACUGUAGCAGUAUUCACAAUUUGGAAUUUGACAGAUUAAGAGGAACAGUAGCGAUCAAAUUAAUUUGAAACAAUAAUCAAUUGUAACAAGUAAACAAGGUAAACACAGUGCUGUAUCAAAAUAACAGGACGAUGAACAAUUUUGCAAAUCAAUUUUCUAACUUAAAUCAAUUUGCAAAAUAACAGGUCUUCUAACUUAAAUCAAUUUUGCAAAUUUAAUUUUCUCAGACAUCUAUAAUUUAAUGUAAGCAUAUAACAUAACCAUACCUUAAUAACCACCACGGGUUGAGUUGUGACGGCACGACGAUGAACAAGUACGACUUCCAAAAAAUUGAAUUGCUGGGUAUGUAUAUGGUGGAGAGAAGAGGAUUUAUGGGUUCUUGGAGAUUAGGGUUAACAGUUGGGUUCAAGCAAUUAGAUUGGAGGAAGAUGAACAGGAACAGUUUCUAUGGAUCGUGGAAAUAUUAGGGAUUUCUAUUGAAUUUGAUUUCCAAUAUUAGGGAUUUGAGGAAGAUUUUUGCAAAGCAACUGAUUUUAGUGCAAAGCAACUGAUCGCGGGAAAACAAAAUCCAUAUACUGAA